ACGCUCGCUCUGGCAGCACAUAUACUAAAAUUGGAAUGAUACAGAGAAGAUUAGCAUGAUCC
rnacentral:snRNA from 1 species